rnacentral:rRNA from 1 species
UACGGAGGAUGCGAGCGUUAUCCGGAUUUAUUGGGUUUAAAGGGAGCGCAGACGGGUCGUUAAGUCAGCUGUGAAAGUUUGGGGCUCAACCUUAAAAUUGCAGUUGAUACUGGCGUCCUUGAGUGCGGUUGAGGUGCGCGGAAUUCGUGGUGUAGCGGUGAAAUGCUUAGAUAUCACGAAGAACUCCGAUUGCGAAGGCAGCACACUAAGCCGUAACUGACGUUCAUGCUCGAAAGUGUGGGUAUCAAACAGG